AUACGGAGGGAGCAAGCGUUAUUCGGAAUCACUGGGCGUAAAGGACGCGUAGGCGGGUUUGUAAGUCAGGUGUGAAAUCCUACAGCUCAACUGUAGAACUGCACUUGAAACUACAGACCUAGAGUAUGGAAGGGGCAGAUGGAAUUAGUGGUGUAGGGGUAAAUCCGUAGAUAUCACUAGGAAUACCGAAAGCGAAGGCGAUCUGCUGGGACAUUACUGACGCUGAGGCGUGAAAGCGUGGGGAGCAAACAGGAUUAGAAACCCUAGUAGUCC
rnacentral:rRNA from 1 species